AUGGCAAAUCUGAAUCAAGGUGCUGAUCCAGCGGCACUUCCAAUCUUGCCUUGCCUGGACUAUGGCAGGAACGUAGUCGCCUACGUUGCUCGUUGCGGGCAGAGCGCCGGCGAGCGAUUCUACAAGUGCCGCAAUCACAAUGUGCCGCACGCACCACACCACAGGGCAGCAGAACGGCAUGCCGGGGGCACCCAGUUCGUUUCUUCAGUCAGCGCCGCUGCAGGAUACAUGCUCGCCGUGCUUCCAGCUGCUGGGCGCCAGGGAACCAUUGGCGUUGACGCUGCAUCCAUCAAUCUGGUGGUCUCCGAGGCCAACCUUGUCACUGGGGUGGCAAUCCUUGUGUUGGUUGUGGUCAUGCACGUGCUUCGUUAG
rnacentral:rRNA from 1 species